rnacentral:tRNA from 1 species
GGUCGGUUAGCUCAGUUGGUCAGAGCGUGGUACUAAUAAUGCCAAGGUCAUGAGUUCAAGCCUCAUACUGAUCA